UUAAAUGAAUAGUCUAGACCAAACUCCACUGGGAAAAGUGGGUCGGUACCAAUGCACUCUUGAGUUAUUGGACUUUUAGUGGUUUGGUGGUGAUAUUUUGUGCUACUGGCAAAUUCCAACAGAAUUUAAGGCCAUUGUAUUAAGUGUGUUUCCGAUAUGCUUUUUUAUCUUCUGUCUUUCUUUCUUUUUUUUUCUUCCCCUGGACCAGGGUGGGGACUGCUGGUACAUGCAUGAUUUUGAGUUGAAUAGGAAUGCUAAAUGAAGUGCACUUCCAGUUUUAAACCUGUAAGCAUCAACUUUGGCACAUUUCCCACUUUUGUAGGUCUUGUGCAUUUAAUAUAGAAAGAUGGCAUGCAUCCUAAGUUCAGUUUAAUAUUUAGGGUGCCAAGCUUGCAGAACCUGAUGUAAUUUGUUUUUAUGCAGUGGCAAGCGGAUCCGUUAUUCCUAAAAAUUGGUUUCACAUUCAAUCGUUUGGAAUUCCAGUUCACAACCUUUUAACAUGUUGGCUGGUCGUUAAUGCAGCAUCUCAGGCAUUUGGUUUCUUGUACAGCGCAGUUUCACUACCAAUGUCGAUAUUUGGGUUUUGUACCAUUGACUGAGUUCCCCAUAUGUGUUUAGAGAUCAUUUUAAGUCAAGAACUAACUGAUAUCCAUUAUAAACCAUUCAAGACAGACACGCAUCAUUUAAGAGUGUUUUAAUUUCAUUAUUUGAAUACAAUAUGGAGCUGAACCCCAGUUUUGAUAUGUAAAGCAUGAGGACAUGCAUGGACCACCAUGGUCUCAGGUUAUGACCUUAACACUUUUUUCCUUUUUGCUGCUCACAUGCUUGUCCCUUUUUCCCAUGAUCACCUCCAUGACCAUGACCUUGUCCUUGCUGUCCUUGCUGUCCUUGCUGUCCUUGCUGUUGCUGAGAUUUCCCUUUAUCUUUGCCUUGGCCCUUUCCGUGCUUCUACAAGUAGAAGUAAAUUCAGAGUUACAGUCUUUCAUUGGAACUUUUAAUAUGCAAAAAGCGCAAUAAUUUUCCACCACUAAAGUUUGCUCUUACCUGUCCACAUUCGUCUCCUGAGCUCUAUGAGACAGGAAAUAUGAGAAUAGGAUUAGCAUACAAUGGAAAAGUUCUUUAACUAUUUGUGUAGAAAUGUAAAGAGUGCGUUAUUGUCUUCAUACCAUGGAGCCAGAAUCUUUGCAGCCCUGUUAAUAUACAGAACGAUCAGUGUGUUAUUCUUUAAAACUUACAAUUAAUGAAUGAAUCCACAGAUAUGCACAAUUCAAAUGCUAAUAAAAUUUGCAAUGCUAUAAAAUUUGUAUACUCGAGAGGAAUUGUAAAUAUCUUACCUGAUGUUGUUCUGCAGAAGAUAUUUGGAAAACAAAAAUGAGCAUUAAGAGUUGUUCUCUAAUGGCAUUUAAGUGAAAUAAUUGUGAAAGUGUACCAGUAAAAUUUCUUUAAAUUUUAAUAAAAUGUCACAAACAGAAAAACGUCAGUAUAUUUAUAUGAAAUAUUACUUACGUGGAUUACUCAUGUUGAGAUUUUCAGAUAUUCAACACGUCUUUAAACACUAAACAAUGAAAAAGACCUGUAAGCAAGAUUUCUUCUGCAUGCAUGUUCAAAUUCUAAUAUUUCAUAAGAUAAAAUAGGCUACUUGGAAAUAAAUAUACUAAAGAGUAAAUUUAGUAACUUUUUGGUCUGUUAUUUUUCAUCAAAUGGUCCCAUGAAUUAUGCAUUUGACAAGUAUCUGUCUGAGCUAAUAAAUGAGGAAUGUCUUACCUCUUGUCUCGUCUUGCUCUCCGUGUGGAAAUGCUGUUCUCGUGCUUGUAUUUAUACUUUGGAUCCACCCUCAGGUGACACAGAUACCUGCUCAUCCACGCCCAAGAGUGGAUAAACAAGUCUGUGCUCACAUUAAAAAAGCAGACUACAAGAAAUAAGAGAUGAAUGAAAAAUAAAUAUAUUUUUAGUAUCCACUGUAUUUGUUGAAUAUGUCUUAAAUGAUCUAUAUGAAUUUUGAUUCAUGUAUUUGAGUGGAUGAUGCACUGAACACUGAAUGAAUUUAUGCAAGAUCCUCUAAAAAGAAAUGUCAUAAUUCAUAAGUCAUCUUAUCAGUACAUGUUAAAACAUGCGAGUUUCAGUGCAAAUGUUCUGACUCUGCUGUAAAAUAGUGUAGAU
ensembl:lncRNA